ACUCAACGAUCAAUUCUUUAAAAAGGGUGAGUUUAAGUUGUAAAAUCGUGCUGUUAGUGCUGAACUCGAUUCAGUAUCUUAGACAGAUUUUUGAUCAGCUUGUUAGCCCUAAACUUGUUUUUAAGGAGUUU
rfam:Winogradskyella sp. RHA_55 genome assembly, chromosome: I